GAAUAGUCAGGUAAAAACCAAUCUGGUGAAAAUAAGUACAUAUAUUCAAAUCAUCUUCAUAUCGCUUAGUUGCCUCUCGAAGAAGGAAGGAUUCAACAACGAUAAUCUUCGGCGUCUGUCCGAUUUCGUUUGUAAUUAUAGAUGCCGUAUGACUUUUAUUUAAUGAAUUGAUUCCUUUCUAUAAAAAAAAACAACAUCUUUUAUCCUCCCUUCUAUCUCAUGUCAUAUUUCUCUCUCUCGGUCCUCUCUCUCCGCCUUUCCUCUCGGAUAUCUCUCUUUACACUCUGUCAAUCUUCGUCUCCCUGUAGAUAGCACCAACACAUAGGCAAGCAACACAAAAAUCAUAAACAUAGGAAAGGUCGGAGGUUAAAUUGGG
rnacentral:lncRNA from 1 species